AGAGUUUGAUCCUGGCUCAGGACGAACGCUGGCGGCGUGCCUAACACAUGCAAGUCGAGCGGAGAUAGCAGCAAUGUUAUUUUAGCGGCGGACGGGUGAGUAACGCGUGGGCAACCUGCCUUAUACAGGGGGAUAACACAGGGAAACUUGUGCUAAUACCGCAUAACAUCAUUGGGAGGCAUCUCUUGAUGAUCAAAGGA
rnacentral:rRNA from 1 species